ensembl:lncRNA
CUGAGCUUUGUGUCCUGGCAGGAAGCCUUUUUACCCUUAAGCCAGCUGCCUGAUUUUGUCUUUAAUUUGAAAAUCAGAAGUAUGGAAUAUCUAAUGCACGUGUUUUCAAAACAAGUACUUAGAAGUGCAAAGCCCUGAACCUUCUUACUUAGUGAAAAAUGACCCCAUGCAUCACUACACACUGGGAGAUGGCUGACUGAAAAACACUAAAGGCCCUGAAACAUUCUGGUGUUCACCUACCUAAAUGUUAGACAGAAAUUUGUCCUUGCUGUACAGAAAGCCAACGGCCUCCUGGAUUGCAUUAGGAAAAAUGCUGUCAGCAGUUUGAAGGAGGUGAUUCUUCUCUGGUAGGACAUACUUGGAGUACUGGAUUUAGCACUGGGCUCCUCAAAGCAAGAGAGACGGAAGAAAUUCCAGCAAAGAGCCACAAAGAUAUGAAGGGACUGGAGCAUCUCACAUAUGACUCUUCAGACUGGAGAAGAAAGCUCUCAGAGGGGAUCUUAUCAAUUCACUAUGCACAAGUUCAGAAGGUAGUGAAGAAGACAAAGCCAG